GCGAAAUUGGAAUAUUAAUUUGUAUAUCAGGAUUUAUGACACAGUGGAAGGCGGAGUUUAGUUCAGGGAAGCCGUUCGAAUUUAGACUUACUCUUUAAUUUCCACAGACAUGAAGUUAGGUAAGUUGUUAUUGCUAUUUACCAUUGUAAAUUAAAAAUUAUUGCAAUAAUAGAAACAAAUUAUAUGCUAACUCGGUUGAACAGUAAUACUUGUAACAUCACAUUGAUAUUACUUGCAUCCAUUCUUAAAAUAUACUUUUCAAAUUGAAAAAAAAUGAUCGAACAACGUUGAAAUGCUGAAUCAUUAUCACGAGAUGAAGAAAAAUAUAAUGAAUUUACUGAUAGCCUGGUCCUACUGGGUGUUUGGAUUGAUGACGUGACAGCAUCGAUAUCGUUCAGAACGUACGAGGAAUGUUUGGUAUAUUGCGAGCAAUUAUGCCUGGGCGAAGGAUGUACGGAUUUUUCUUGCAUGGCCAACACAGGAAUAUGCAAAUGUUGUGCCGGAAAUAAAAAUAUGCAUAGAAGAAGAAGAUGAUUAGGUACCUAAGGACUCUACAUUUCUCAACAAAAUGAACGCAGUUUUUGCUUUUUUUUUUGAAGUACCAUAGGUGAAUCAAAGAAGUACCUCAUAUCAUUUUGUUGAAAAAUCAAAUUGUUCUUCAUUUUACAUAACACUGUUUUCGCAUUAUCAAUGAAUAUUGAGUGAUA